GGUGGGUUGGCUCAGUGGUUAGUGCGUAGGUCUCUUAACCGAAGGGUUGCGGGAUCGAAUCCCGCUAGAGGCUG
rnacentral:tRNA from 1 species